GACGAACGCUGGCGGCGUGCCUAAUACAUGCAAGUCGAACGAGAGCAACCGGUGCUUGCACUGGUCAAUCUAGUGGCGAACGGGUGAGUAACACGUGGGUAACCUGCCCAUCAGAGGGGGAUAACAUGCGGAAACGGAUGCUAAAACCGCAUAGGUCUUCGAACCGCAUGGUUUGAAGAGGAAAAGAGGCGCAAGCUUCUGCUGAUGGAUGGACCCGCGGUGCAUUAGCUAGUUGGUGAGGUAACGGCUCACCAAGGCCGUGAUGCAUAGCCGACCUGAGAGGGUGAUCGGCCACAUUGGGACUGAGACACGGCCCAAACUCCUACGGGAGGCAGCAGUAGGGAAUCUUCCGCAAUGGACGCAAGUCUGACGGAGCAACGCCGCGUGAGUGAAGAAGGUUUUCGGAUCGUAAAACUCUGUUGUUAGAGAAGAACAAGUGCUAGAGUAACUGUUAGCGCCUUGACGGUAUCUAACCAGAAAGCCACGGCUAACUACGUG
rnacentral:rRNA from 1 species